rnacentral:lncRNA from 13 species
CAAUAAUACAAUUUUGAAUCUCAAGCCCCAAGGAAAAGUGAAGAUAUCACACCAUUGGAGAAAUGUCCUUUUGAGUGAAACUAGCCAGCUCUGGUUUUCUUACUGCUCAAACUCCCCAAGGGAUGUGCUGUUCCUGCACUGAGAACAGCACCACUAAAGGACGCCUCGGGCAGAAGAAGGUUACAUGUUACAUGAAAGGAAGACCUGAACCUGAGAUGGAGCUUUGAAAGUCACAAAAGGUUUGGAAUGCAUGAAAAUCAACCUGAGGCUCCCUUUCUUCCCCUUUCAGAAGCCCAAGAAAGUGUCUGGACCAGAAGGAAUAUGUUCCAUUGCCACUGCCGCAUCCCACUGGAGGAAUGAAUGUGCCAAGGUAGAAGAUGCCAUUGAGAGACUGGGAGCAAGAGGAUCAGAGCACCACGCUCCCUGGAAAAGCAGAAGCCUCACAUCAGCACUGAAGACACAUCCGUUUCAAUCUGACCCUUUUUCUACUUCCUCAUGCAGAUUUAAGUCCCUGCUUUUCCAGCAUGCUUCAUAUUGA